rnacentral:rRNA from 1 species
AUGGACUCUCCAGCUCCGUUCAUCUACUGCCCCCCAGCCGGCGACGCCGACGACGCCGGCGAGGAGGCCCUCAUCAAGGCGGCCAUCGACGGCAACCUCGGCCGCCUCAAAGGUAUUGUGAAGCGUCUUACCAAAGGAAAUGGUGACCGGUCCGCGAUUUUUUAUUUCAACACCGAUGGACUCUCUGUGUUGCAUAUAGCGGCAUGCUUUGGCCAUCUGGAUAUUUGCAAGUAUUUGGUGGAGGAGCUCAAGGGAGAUGUAAAUGCUCCUGGAUAUGGAGGUGCGACUCCAUUUAUGGUGUCUGCUUGGUCUGGUGAUGUUGCUGCCGUCAAGUAUUUUCUUGAUCGCGGCAGUGAUGUAAUGAAAGCAGAUGACAGAGGACAAACAGUUCUCCACCAUGCUGUGGCUGCAGGAUGCUGA